GUGUCUACCAAGAGAAAUGUGGGCAUGAGGGUACCAGCAGACACUGUGAGGGAAAUUCACAGCAGCCUCAAUCAUACUCGCCAACGACGGGAGUCAAACCACACCUCCUUCAACUGGAGAAGACGUAAAGUGGUGGGAUACCCACACAACGGGAUGCAACACAGCGAGAAGAAAGAACGAAUGCGUCUCACAGACAUGGUGGUGCGUCAAGGGAGCCAGAUGCAAAAAAGAACACCCGCGCUCUUUGACGUCAGUCAGCCGAACUUUGAUGUCCUGACCCCAUCACCAACCAGCUGGAUGACUCUGGGCAGUGACCCCAAGCUCCUUGGUCUGUUCCAUCAACCCUGAGCUAUUUCCCUCUCCUUGGAAGGCUCUUCUCUCCACUUUCUACCUAAGGAACUCCCACCCUCCCUGGAAGCCCUGCUGAACGCACCCUGACCCAGGAGCCUUCUGCAGCCCUCAACC
rnacentral:lncRNA from 1 species